AACAGGAAAGGCAGAGGUAGAAGCUUUAUUAUGAUAUGUCUUAAGGAACAAUUAAAUCAGUAGGCAUUGAUUGAACACCUACUGUGCACAAGCCCCUGCACACAGUAGGGUCCAAUGGACCCGUGGAGUCCAAUGUCCCACCCAUGGCUCUCAGGUUCCCAGGGAGGAAAAUCACAUGAGGGUCAGGGAGUUUUAUGGGGCUGAGAACAGGGUGGGUUCCUGAAUAUCCAAGUGCAGUUAGCUUUAUGAAGGCAAACUUUGCCCCCCCCUGCAGGAGGCAGAGACAGCAGGGAGCAGCAGGCCCGGCUCUCUCGGGCUGGGCAGGUGGCUUUCGCGCAGCUCUUCGGGGCCACGGGCCCCUCAGCAGCCACCGCAGCAGCCGGUCUGGGUGUUGCUGGAGGCCUGGGAUCGCUGGCUGCCACCCCCGCAGCAGCUGCAGCAGCUGGUGCUGGAGCCGCAGCAACCUGAGUCGCCGCAGCAACCUGAGUCGCCGCAGCAGCCCGAGUCACCGCCGCAGCAGCCGGAGUCGCCGCAGGAGCCGCAGCAGGAGGACGAGGCGGCGGGUGCCGGGGCGGGACACGGAGUGGGGCCCUGAGAAGACCCCUUGGAAAAGCCUCUGGAGGCCCCUGCGCUCUGCUGGGAGGACAUCUCGGAGGUCGUCACGGCGAACCUGGAAGAAAAGCAGCUUUUCACACGGGAGCAGACUUUUCUUUCCAACAAUGAACUCAGGGCUUUUGAGAUUUGGCCUUGUGAGCAAGUGAGCCUGGCCUGGUGCCAGGGAAAGGAAGCACCAAGAAAGAAGGAAAGCAAAGGAAGAAACCCCAAACCAGUGUUUGCAGUGAGUUAAACAUGCAUAGAGCAGGAAACGGUCUAUGCAAGGGAUCAAUUGUCUUCUACUUUCUCUGACUAGAAUAAGGACCACCCAGGUUCUCCACAAUGGAAAAUAAAGACAACAUUGUGGCAAUUUAUCUGUAUGAUCCAGUCAGUCCAAAAUCUUUGCUUGGCUCUUUUCCCCUCCCCCAUUUCACUGCGACCUCACAAUCUUCAAGUGAUAUUCACAUAGUUAGCACUGUAUUGGUGGCCUAGUGGUUAAGGUUAGAUGCUCUAGCUGAGGGGCCCAGGUUGGUUUCCUGGUGAGGGAACCAUGUCACCCAUCUGUCAGUUAUACUGUAGCAGCUGCAUGUUGCUGUGAUGCUGAAAGCUAUGCCACCAAUAUGUCAAACACUAACAGGGUCACCCAUGGUGGACAGGUUUCAGCGGAGCUUCCAGACUAAGACAAACUAGGAAGAAGGACCUGGCUGCCCACUUCUGAAAAAAUCGGCCAUGAAAACCCUAUGAAUAGCCACGGAGCAUUGGCUGAUACUGCGCUGGCAAGUGAGAGGCUUCGCCAUCAGUUAGAGAAGAGCCAAAUCACAGAUGCAUCCUUGCUGCCUGGAUCUAAAGAAUUCACAAAGCGCUGGUCGUUUUUCCUGCCUCUGCCUCUCAUUCACCUCAGCCACAAGGAAAAGGAGAGUGAUCCAGCUGAUGGAAAUACAUCCCAGUCCAGAGAGCCAAAAGACCUAGGUUCUAGUCACAUCUCUGCUACAGAAUUGCUGUGAAAUCAUCUAAAAGUCACUCCCACCCCCAGUCUGGCCUCCAGGUCCUCACUGGGACCAUGAGAGGCUGGCUCACUUGAAGCUUACGGCUCUUUCCAGGGCUUUUCUCCUUCCACAUCUACCUGCUAGCUAUCUUCUGGCUUCUCCUCUCUGCCUUCCACUCUUCCCAACCUCCUCCACCAGGCCCUGCUUGGAGACUUACCAGACUCUGGCUCCACUGGAAGACUCACUCAGUUCUCCAACUGGAACAGGCCACCUUCUAGGUAGUGGACUGAGCAAUGUCCAGCCAGAGAACCUUUUAUAAGAUUCCACAGGCC
rnacentral:lncRNA from 1 species